UAUUUAUACCAGCUCAUUUACACAGAACUGGAGUGUUCUGUUUUAGUGCAGGUGUAAUUCAAAUGGUAAACAGCAUUGUCUUGGACCAGCUACAACUCUUUCACUUCUACAACAACUGCUGAUAAUUCAAGCUCAUGGCAUGAUCAUCAACUUCUAUAGCACUACAGCAGCUAGUAUCAGGCUCUCGGGUGUUGGUGUAUUUUAUGUCUGAACGGGGAGCAUCAGACUCACAGAUUAUUUCAGGCUGGAGUUUUGGGACA